rnacentral:rRNA from 1 species
GGAAGGGGUGUAUUUAUUAGAUUAAAAACCAAUGCCCCUCGGGGCUCUCUGGUGAUUCAUAAUAACUUCUCGAAUCGCACGGCCUUGCGCCGGCGAUGGUUCAUUCAAAUUUCUGCCCUAUCAACUUUCGACGGCUGGGUCUUGGCCAGCCGUGGUGACAACGGGUAACGGGGAAUUAGGGUUUGAUUCCGGAGAAGGAGCCUGAGAAACGGCUACUACAUCCAAGGAAGGCAGCAGGCGCGCAAAUUACCCAAUCCCGACUCGGGGAGGUAGUGACAAUAAAUACUGAUACAGGGCUCUUUUGGGUCUUGUAAUUGGAAUGAGUACAAUUUAAAUCCCUUAACGAGGAACAAUUGGAGGGCAAGUCUGGUGCCAGCAGCCGCGGUAAUUCCAGCUCCAAUAGUGUAUAUUAAAGUUGUUGAGGUUAAAAAGCUCGUAGUUGAACCUUGGGCCCGGCCGGCCGGUCUCCCUCACCGGAUGCCACUGGCUCGGCUGGGCCUUUCCUUCUGGAGAACCCCAUGCCCUUCACUGGGUGUGGCGGGGAACCAGGACUUUUAC